rnacentral:lncRNA from 1 species
CUCAGGGCUUUCCUGUUGUCUUUCUUCCCUGUAUUGGAGAGAGCAUCUUUCUUCUCUCCCCCUGCCUUUCUCUCUGCUCUCAUGGGUCACUCACUCUGGGAGAUGCCAUGUCAGCUCAGCCCUACGGAGAGGCCCACAUGGGGAGGACCUGAAGCCUCCACCUUGGAAUAGGAUCCUCCAGCCACAGGCAAGUCUUCAAGGAUUGCAGCUGCAGCUGACAGCUGACUGCGACCUCAUGACCAACCCGGGACCAGAACUACCCAGCCUAGCCUCACUGGGAUUCCUGAUACUCAGAAACUGAAAACAAUUCCAUGUUUCUGAAGUGGUGCUGACUCCAACUCCUAUAGGUGAAGGAAGUGAAUCAGAUUAAACUCAAGUACCUCCUUCCCCGGGUACAUCACGAAAGACAGGCUCAUGAGGACAAUCCCUGGACCUUUUCUUCCUACAGUUGUUAAGGGACAGAGGGCCGUAACUUCCAAAUAAAGUUAAAGAUGGGAAAGGUAUCAGACACCCUGGAUUGAGUAGUUCUUACAGUCA